GACGAACGCUGGCGGCGUGGAUUAGGCAUGCAAGUCGGACGGUAGGGCUUUAUCGUAAGAUAGAGUUUGAGAGUGGCGAACGGGUGAGUAACACGUAGGAAUCUACCCUUAAGACGGGGACAACCCAGGGAAACUUGGGCUAAUACCGGAUGAGAGUGCGAGAGAUUGCAUUUAAAAGGAUGGCGAAAGUUGUCGCUUAGGGAUGAGCCUGCGGUCUAUUAGUUAGUUGGUGAGGUAAGAGCUCACCAAGGCGAUGAUAGAUAGGCGGCCUUAACGGGUGGUCGCCCACACUGGGAUUGAGACACGGCCCAGACUCCUACGGGGGGCAGCAGUAGGGAAUCUUCGGCAAUGGGCGGAAGCCUGACCGAGCGACGCCGCGUGAGGGACGAAGGCCUUCGGGUUGUAAACCGUCUGUCUGGGGGACGAGUAAGGACGGUACCCCGGAGGAAGCCCGGCUAACUACGUGCCAGCAGCCGCGGUAAGCAUACUCGUA
rnacentral:rRNA from 1 species